CCAGGCUCCUACGGGAGGCAGCAGUGAGGAAUAUUGGUCAAUGGGCGGGAGCCUGAACCAGCCAAGUCGCGUGAGGGACGACGGUCCUAUGGAUUGUAAACCUCUUUUGUCGGGGAACAAAGGCGCCCACGGGUGGGCGGAUGAGUGUACCCGAAGAAAAAGCAUCGGCUAACUCCGUGCCAGCAGCCGCGGUAAUACGGAGGAUGCGAGCGUUAUCCGGAUUUAUUGGGUUUAAAGGGUGCGCAGGCGGGAGAUCAAGUCAGCGGUAAAAUGUCGGGGCUCAACCCCGGCCGGCCGUUGAAACUGGUUUUCUAGAGUUGGAGAGAAGUAUGCGGAAUUCGUGGUGUAGCGGUGAAAUGCAUAGAUAUCACGAAGAACUCCGAUUGCGAAGGCAGCAUACCGGCUCCAUACUGACGCUGAGGCACGAAAGCGUGGGGAUCGAACAGGAUUAGAUACCCGAGUAC
rnacentral:rRNA from 1 species